rnacentral:tRNA from 1 species
CAAAAGAUAGGUUAUAAUAAACCACUGAGCUGUGGAUUCAGAGAUGUAGUUUUACUCUUUUUC